GAAGGGGAUGGGAGAGACAAUGAAUCAAUCACAAACACAAGUGUUUUUAUAGUGGUUCGGAGCUAAUCCUUGCUCUUACGUCCACUCCCCAAGCUUCACUUGGGAGUUCACUAUAAUCCCUCGGAUUACAGCCGGUUGUUUUACAAGUUCACAACCCAACUUGUUGUUUUACGAGAUCACAACGAACUCGGUCGGUUUUUCCAGGCUCACUGACUAAAACCACCCGAUUGUUUUUCCGGGAUCACAAUCGAACCCUUACACUGUUGGUUUUACCCUUGGCUCACCAACUAACCUUAACACGCUUGAUUCAAUCCCCUGAUUGAAUCAAGUAAGAGAAACAGUUUGGAAAGAGUACAAGGAUAGCUUCUUAAAAAGCAAAUAUGACAAAUAUGAAUAGAAUAGAAUUAGAAGCCCUCAAACAGUUUUUGGAAAGGGAAGAAGGGGCUUCUCGAACUCUGAGACUCCUCUUGGAGUGUGUUGAAGAUUUGCUGUCAGAUGGGGAGCCUUGAAUGCGAGGGAAGAGUUCGUAGGAUGGAGUUGAAUGCACUUCUUUCUUCUUUCUCUUGUAUUUACUCUUGAGAGGCUUUGGUAGGUGGAAAUCACUUUUGCUUUGAAUGGAAUCUCUCUCUUGAUGUCUAUUACUGUUUACUUUGGCUAUUUAAACAGUCUCCUUUGAAAACUAGCCGUUAGACACAACUUUAGAGCCGUUCUGCACAAUCUGCAACUCCUGACAAAGUGUCCGUUGGGAUCAGAGUCGACUCGUUCGAUUUGGAGUCGACUCGGCUGUUGUUGGAGUCGACUCAUGCUUUACUGGAGACGACUCGCCCACUGUUCAGGAUUUGAAUUAAAGUGCUGUCCCGUUCUGGAGUCGACUCGGCCAAACUUGGAGUCGACUCGCCAGUAUCCGGAGAUGACUCGGCCCUCUGGAGACGACUCGUUCUCAGGAUUCCAGAGAUCUUUCUGUCAGGUUUACUCCCUCGAGUCGACUCGGAUUCUCUUGGAGUUGACUCGGCUCUCAGAGACCGAAAAACUGGUCUUCUGUCUUUGGAGUUGAACUGCCUCGGAGUCGACUCGGAUUGUCUUGGAGUCGACUCGGCUCUCAGAGCCCGAAAUUGGUUCUCUGUCUUUUAGUCUUGCUUUCCUCUGAGAGUCGACUCUUGCUUGUUUAGGAGUCGACUCCCCAACCGUUGGAGUCGACUCGAAUUCUUCUGGAGUCGACUCGGUAACAGGAUUCAGAAACCACUUCUCUGUCUCUCUGUCUGUUACUCCUUGGAGUCGACUCGGAACUAUCGGGGGUCGACUCGGCAAU
rnacentral:lncRNA from 1 species